rnacentral:rRNA from 1 species
UACGUAGGGUGCAAGCGUUAAUCGGAAUUACUGGGCGUAAAGCGUGCGCAGGCGGUUUGUUAAGACAGAUGUGAAAUCCCCGGGCUUAACCUGGGAACUGCAUUUGUGACUGGCAAGCUAGAGUAUGGCAGAGGGGGUAGAAUUCCACGGUGUAGCAGUGAAAAUGCGUAGAGAUGUGGAGGAAUACCGAUGGCGAAGGCAGCCCCCUGGGCCAAUACUGACGCUCAUGCACGAAAGCGUGGGGAGCA